GACGAACGCUGGCGGCGUGCUUAACACAUGCAAGUCGAACGGAAAGGCCUCUUUCGGGGGGUACUCGAGUGGCGAACGGGUGAGUAACACGUGAGUAACCUGCCCUUGACUUUGGGAUAACUUCAGGAAACUUGGGCUAAUACCGGAUAGGAGCUCCUGCUGCAUGGUGGGGGUUGGAAAGUUUCGGCGGUUGGGGAUGGACUCGCGGCUUAUCAGCUUGUUGGUGGGGUAGUGGCUUACCAAGGCUUUGACGGGUAGCCGGCCUGAGAGGGUGACCGGCCACAUUGGGACUGAGAUACGGCCCAGACUCCUACGGGAGGCAGCAGUGGGGAAUAUUGCACAAUGGGUGGAAGCCUGAUGCAGCAACGCCGUGUGCGGGAUGACGGCCUUCGGGUUGGAAACCGCUUUCGCUCAUGACGAAGCUUUGUGUGACGGUAGUGGGUAAAGAAGCACCGGCUAACUACGUG
rnacentral:rRNA from 1 species